AAAACCAUCCCUUUUAAAAAUAAUUGCCUAUUGUUUUCAUAUAACUUAUCAUCUUACCUUAUUUCUGAUACUCCAAAGUUCAAAACCAGUGCUAGUCUUAUCUGGGUUAGUUUACCUUCAAAUAUUUGAAGAUAAAAACUUUUGUCUGAAGUGCUCUCUGUUGAAUCAUGGGUAUUUCUAAGCCUUGUCUAUUUCUGAUUCUGAUAAUUAUGAGUUUUUCGAUGUCCCAUAGACCAAGAGUUGCAGAAGCAAGGCCACUGUCCAUCCAACCUCAACAGAGAUACACGAAGAUAUUUGAAACGCUUGGAAUUGCUUGCAAGUGUUGUGAUGUGAGUGGAAAUGAAUGCUCAAGUACUUGGACUGAGCCCUGUUCAAAGCUUCAAUGUCUGCCAUGGAAGUUACAAUAGAGACACUACUGUUUCUAGCUAGUUAAACUUUUUGCAUAUGGUUUGUACAUAUCUAUAUAUACUGAAAUUGAGUGGUUUAAUUAAAUCAGUUCAAGAGACUAGCUUGUUGGUUAUAAACUGUUUUUAUUUUGGCUUCUCUGGUUUGUACACAUCCACAUCAAUUAUGAUAAAACUCAAAUCUCUUAGCUACAA